GACGAACGCUGGCGGCGUGCUUAACACAUGCAAGUCGAACGGAAAGGCCCUGCUUUUGUGGGGUGCUCGAGUGGCGAACGGGUGAGUAACACGUGAGUAACCUGCCCUUGACUUUGGGAUAACUUCAGGAAACUGGGGCUAAUACCGGGUAGGAGCUCCUGCUGCAUGGUGGGGGUUGGAAAGUUUCGGCGGUUGGGGAUGGACUCGCGGCUUAUCAGCUUGUUGGUGGGGUAGUGGCUUACCAAGGCUUCGACGGGUAGCCGGCCUGAGAGGGUGACCGGCCACAGUGGGACUGAGAUACGGCACAGACUCCUACGGGGGGCAGCAGUGGGGAAUAUUGCACAAUGGGCGGAAGCCUGAUGCAGCAACGCCGCGUGCGGGAUGACGGCCUUCGGGUUGUAAACCGCUUUCGCCUGAGACGAAGCGUGAGUGACGGUAAUGGGUAAAGAAGCACCGGCUAACUACGUG
rnacentral:rRNA from 1 species